GCCAAGUUCCGGGAGGACAAGCGUUACUAUGGCAACCCUACUGAAUAGACUGAAUAGAGGCGACCACUUGCUGGUCUGCGGGAAAUCGAGCUUUCAAAACAAGUCCUGAAGCAGGAAUGCUGGGGAACGAGAUGUCACAAUUACCAGGGCAGGACCAAGAGAAGGAACCAGCUUUGGAACAGACACAAGACUCACUGCCACAAAGAGCAAUGUGUAACAGUCGGUGCUGGUGGAAAGAAAAGAGGCUUUUUCUCUGCAGAAAUUUUUUUUUCUUUUGCUUGUAUCUGAAACCAGGGAAGGUCACCAGAGUUCAGUUCACCUGUGGUGACCAUGUUACUCUCUGUGCCCAGGAUGUGCUACUGGCCCCCUAACCCUCAGCCUCCAGGUGGUGUCCUUGUGGUCAGUGGGCAGUGACCCCUGAGCCACUAUCAUGAAUCUUGGUGGUGGCUUUGGUAAAACGACUGCAGGACAGGGUUUGGGGCCAUUCAGCAGGAAUUGUGGCCGCUUCCAUUGAGGGCAUGUCGCCCCCACUCACCACCAUUAAUGCCCACAGGCCACACACACUGCAUCACUGACCACCCAUCAGGUCACCCAUGGAUGGACCAGCCUUCCAUGCAGCAGGGACAGGCUCUUACCUUUGCCUCUAGAGCACUGAGAGGCGCAGCUCUGUCUCACUGGAAGGCAGUGAGGAGAGCUGAGGACCUGCACCAGGCUGGGGGCCAUCCUCCUUCCCAAGCAGGCCCCAGGGGAGGACCAGCUCCACCUCCAGCCACCCCAGGUCUCAGCCUCCCUGUUGGCUGAUACACAGAAAAGGCUGGGAAACGGGAGCAGAGGAAGCACAGAGCUGGGCAUAUGCUGCUUGAGAUUCAUGGGACUUCCGGCUACACAGUGGAGCUGCCCCUCCUGGGCUGGAGGCAGCAUCCUCUUUGGGAACUGAGAAACUCCAAUCUUGAGAUGGGCCAGUGCUGGCCAGGGGUGUGUGCCUGGACAGAAGUGAUGACAUUGCCAGGCUGUGAUGCAAGGAUCUUGGCCUGAAAACUGCUCCGUGAACUGAGGAUGCAUCUGGAGCCUGUCCUGCCUGAUGGCCCCACAGCCAUUGCAGGGUCUGACCAUAUAGCAUCCACCUGCCUCUCACUGAACACGAGCCACUGACUCUUCCUGCUUCCUCACUUUCCCAGCCUGUCUAACCCAAAGACCAGGACUGUCUUUUCAGCCACUCUGGCUCUUCUUUUAUCCUUACGCUGUCAAAACCUCUAAGCAAGAACACCCAGAUCCACAUACCUGCCUUGUCCACUCUUUAACUGGGCUGCUCAGCACUGCUUGGGGGCACCAGGGGCCAUGAGGGUGACUGAGGGUUUCACAGGCACCUGGGAUGGUCCUGUACCCAGUCCCCAGCCUCAGGUGGUGCUUGGGGCUUUCAGUCAGCAGCCUCCUCCCUUUCACUGCAGCAGCCCUGGCACAGGGCACCUGGCUGUCCUCCCAUUUUUCUCUGACUCAGCCUCGCCCAUCUGUCCUCUGAUCAUGGUGUUGACCAAGUCAGCAGGGAGCUGAGUCUCCAGAGGGUGCUUUGGGGACCGACCGAAGCCUCUCUGCUGAGGGGUCCCAGGUGAGUCGCUGCCCCGACCCCACCCCAUUUACUGUCGUCCCCAGAUCCAUCCACUCCACCCCAGGCUGGCUCCAUCCAGAUGCAUCCCAAAGUCAUCAGUUCCUUUGGGUCACCCCCACCCCAACUUUCCCAAUGACCUCUGCAGGCACAGACUCCAUACUGGGUUUUUCCCACCAGAUUUCAGAUCCCCUCUCAGCAUGAGACGCUUGGUCAGGUUACCUUAGCAGCAAGCUCUGCUGCCUCUUUGCUUUCUCUCUGAGAUGCCCAUGCCAGGGCCCUGACCAUCUUCUCCUCCCAGGGCCACAGCUUUUCCUGCCCCUGUACCCUUGUACCCUUCCCUGUGGGGUGGCAGAACUGGUCUCCUUUAGCCCUCAGAGACCUGCUGGACAACUGCCCACAGGCCAUGCCAAGCAUCCCCCCACCCUGUGGCCACACCCUGCAAAUUUCCAGGGCUGGCUCCAAGGAACAGGGCUGGACCCUCAGGCUGGCCCCCUCCUCCUUUGUUGACUUAGAGACUGCACUGCUGAGAACCCAGGGGGUUGGUCCAGCCAUAUCUCUAUUCCCACCGUUUCUCUGGGUUCCCACAAUGGGCCACUCAACACUGGCCUAACACUGACACCAUGGGCUGGACCUGCAGGGCAUCUAGGGGAGGAGUGCUGAUACUGGGAAAGGGAUGGGUCAUAGCCAUGGAGACAUGGGCUUCCUCAGAGAGACCCUUCUAAUAACAAAACCUAUCCCCGAGUUGAGAUUGCUGGGUUGGGGGCGUGGGAGGCAGAAGACACUGAAGAAUUUGGAGCUGAUGACUUUCCAGAUCAAAAAUCUUCCUGCCCCAUGUCCACUGGCAUCCCGGCCUGGCCAACCUCCGCCUCCUGGGUUCAAGUGAUUCUCCUGCCUCAGCCUCGUGAGUAGCUGAGAUUACAGGCGCCCGCCACCAUGCCCAGCUAAUUUUUGUAUUUUUAGUAGAGACGAGGUUUCAACAUGUUGGCCAGGCUGGUCUUGAACUCCUGACCUCAGGUGAUCCACCCUCCUUGGCCUCCCAAAUCUAGUAAAUGUCACAUAAUUUAUAAGGCAAUAUAAGAGAAUAUUUCUUAUAUUAACUGACUGUCAAAAGCAACUGUGUAAUACUGUUUGUAUCUUCAUGGCUAUCAGAUAUAUAAAUUUAAUGUAUUUGCCAAUAACAGCACAGAGGUGAGUGCAGGAAAAGUACCUCAGCACUCACACUGCCACACUGCUCACACUGUCCACAGGACCGUCUGCUUUAGCCCAGAGGGAGGGUCAAACCAAGCCAGGCCUGGUGGGCUGGACGGGGCACCACGAGUCCUCUUGGAAACUGAACCCACCCCUGACACAACUCAGAUUAAAGACAGGAGUGUGGUGAGCUCUUCCCUGCCUGGGCCUCCCCGAUCCGUGGCCUCCUGUGCAGAACUGGACCCCAGGGGUGUCCAGAAAGGACCCAGCACUGCCCAGUGCAAGGUGCCCAGGACAGAAACAGACCCCUCCAAGGAGACCCCUCCUGGCCUGAUGCCCAGCCCCAAACCUAGACCCUCUCCUGAAGGGAGACAUGAGAAACAUAUUUAUCAGAAACUGGAAUAAAAACAUACACUAAAAGCCCAGGAAGCUUUUGUGAAUUCCUAGCAUCUCUACACCACACUGAUUAGUGACAGUUUAUUCCUGCAGUACACCUGUCUAUAACAGUGAAUAAAGUGCUUGGGUUUUUUUUUGUCUGCAAAUUCUUAACUCUCAUAAAACGAUUAUAAGGCAUAUAAAACAGGAAAAUGUGGCUGAAUAGAAACAAAAUAAGCCUUCAGAAAACAAGCUCAAAGACAAACAGAUUUAUGUCUCGCUUUAUGAAUAAUUUAAAACAACUGUGUAGUCCCAGGUACUUGGAAGGCUGAGGUGGAAGGAUCACUUGGGACCAAGAAUUCAAUGCUGCAAUUACCUGUGAUCUUGCUGCUGCACUUUAUCCUAGAUGACAGAGAGACAUUCUGUCUCAAAAAUAAAAAAGAGAAUACUGUACCCACCAAAGCUAGCCUUCAAACACAAAAAAUAAAGACUUUCCCAG
rnacentral:lncRNA from 1 species